UGCUCCAUGGCUCAGCCGGUAAGAGGGAUGACUGGUAGGCAAGCGACCGGGGUUCGACCCCCGGUGGUGGUAA